UAACAAAAAUGAAAAAAAGAAAAAGAAGAAAUACUAUUAAAACAAUCAAUACGGCAAGCCAAAGACAGACGGCUGCCUGCCGUGUGUGAAGAAAAGUCGAAGACACUGCGCAAAAAAAAACGAGAACGUCGAAGAAUAACAGGUAAUUCAAAUCGAAUACAUGGAAAUUUUAUACUCGGCUCCAAGAAAUUAUGUGGGUAACAGGGAAAAGGAGUAAACAAUAUGAAAAGGGUCGCCCGCCGCCAGAGUUCAUAUAAGAUUACACACACGAAGCGAAGAAGCACUGCAAAGAUUUGUAUGCUAAUUUCAACUAUUGAAUGCGUAUCAGUCAGAAGGAGACACGAACACUCAUUUAAUGCAUGUGAUGUGCGCCUCUUUCAAAAUUGAUGCUUAACAUUCCGAAAGCAUAGGGCAACACUGGCCGACAGCAGCUUUUGUCGAUCAUGUUGUUAGUGGAUGGAUCCCGGCACUUGCAACAGAUCUCGAUGUAAAAACUUUAACAUAUAAACAACGACAACGUCAUGAUCAACAAUUGUAUAACACAACCGCUCUACGGAUCGGUUCGGAUCGCUUCGAUCUGAGUGCCGCCUCUCUGGAGAUUCACUUCCACUUUCUGCAGCGUUCGUUUUGUAAAUGUUGCGUAGUUCUGGCCGCAGACAGAGCUCAACUAAAGGCACAACAUAACAGCAACAGCCACAGCCAAAGGAAGAGGAAGCAGAGCGGCGACGGCAGACAAACAGGAAUGCAAUUGCAGGGUAAAAACAACAACAACAACAACAGCACUUCGAACUUCGAACUACCAAGUGAGAGCUGAAACAGACAGAGAGAGAGCGAGAGGAAGAGAGCGAUCGAUAGCUGUGUGUG